UCCCUCUCAGGGUCGCACCUGGAGAGUUUCCAGUGCUCUACCAGUCUGAACUAUGGGAGGGAGAGUCAAGCAGAGGCCUCCUCAUUCCAUUCUUAGCUUGGGCAGUGGCUAGCGAGUGGAAGGCCAUCUGCUACAAGU
rnacentral:snoRNA from 1 species